UGUAGUCGUGGCCGAGUGGUUAAGGC
rnacentral:piRNA from 2 species